UACGGGGGGGGCAAGCGUUGUUCGGAAUUACUGGGCGUAAAGGGCUCGUAGGCGGCCAACUAAGUCGGAUGAGAAAUCCCCAGGCUCAACUUGGGAACUGCAUCCGAUACUGGAUGGCUUGAAUUCGGGAGAGGGAUGCAGAAUUCCAGGUGUAGCGGUGAAAUGCGUAGAUAUCUGGAGGAAUACCGGUGGCGAAGGCGGCAUCCUGGACCGACAUUGACGCUGAGGAGCGAAAGCUAGGGGAGCAAACGGG
rnacentral:rRNA from 1 species